rnacentral:ncRNA from 1 species
AAAACCACAGCGAUAAAGAAAGUAGAAUUUGCUUCAUUUUUCUAAAAGAGAACUUCGUUAGCUGAAAAGAAGUGAAAAAGACGAAUUCGAAAAUGGCUUUAGAGUGGGCAUUCUGAAAAAGUUAGGAGUGCACGGUAUUCCCUGUUAACAAGAAUCCAAUAUAAGAUAUAUUGGAAACAAAGGUAAAAUAGCAAUAUUUUUACAAAUCAAGGUGGUACCAUGUAUAUUGAUGACAUCCUUAGA